AUGGAAUGUUCUGAAAACGCGUUUUGGGCUAUUACUCCCACACCGAACCUCCCACAUCCAAAAACUUGUACACACAGAUGCACUGGAGUCUGCUGCAUCUUUUGGCCUAGGCCACGCCCAUUUGCGUCUAGAAUUUUUUUUCGCAAAAUCGCGAAAACCACAAAACUGUUUUUUCCCUACUCCUCCCACAUUUCUUCACCAAUCGACACCAAACUUUGCACACGACAUCUUCAGACGCACACGCAAAGAAUGCACCAAACACUUUUUUGAUGCGACCUUUGACGACGAAACGGUAGCGUUUUGAAUAUUGGUUUAUGAGCUAAAUUAGACGUGAAAAAUCAAAAAUCCAAAGAAAUCCAAAAUUAGACAUCGGAACGAGUCCAAAUUGUGCACACAUGUUGGUGCUAACCUUAAGGUCGUACGAUAAAAAUUUCGGAAAAUUUCGCCAUUAGGGGGCGCAAUAAACGAGGAAAUUGUAUAUCUUCUACAAAAUUUCGCCGCGAAAACGCUACGCUGACUUCUCGCUACUCCUACCACAGUCAAAUCCUUUGUAUCCACAGGUUCAGGGUAGCGUUUUGAACACAUGCUUCGCGCUGUGCCGGCGAAACGCACAUUUCUUGUCGCGUUGUGCCGGCGAAAUGCACACUUCUUGGACCCCUGCAUAACUGCUUGCAGUUCUAGUUAUUAUUAUUAUUUCCUGCUAGAAGUGGGCCCACAGCCCAAACCGUAAAUGGUGCCGACACGCCAAUUGCAUGACUAGAUCCAGGUCCGUGAACAUUACGCAGACCACAAAAAUACAGACACGCCGGCCACUAGGUGGCGCUAUACCAAGGGAAAACGCGUUUAGGACUAUAACUCCCACACCGAACCUCCCACAGUCAAAAACUUGUACCCACUUAUUCACUGGAGUCUGCUGCAUCUUUUGGCAUAGGCCACGCCCAUUUGCGUCUAUAAUUUUUUUUCGCAAAAUCGCGAAAACCGCAAAACUGUUUUUUCGCUACUCCUCCCACAUUUCCUGACCAAUCGACACCAAACUUUGCACACGGCAUCUUCAGACCUACACGAAAAGAAAUGCUGCAUUACUUUUUUGAUCCGACCCUCGACGACGAAACGGUAGCGUUUUGAACAUUGGUUUAUUAGCUACGUUUUACGCCGAAACGCAAAAAUUCAAAAAAUACCAAAAUUAGACAUCGGAUCUAGCCCACAUUUUAGACACAUGUCGGUGUUACCCUUAAUGGCGUUCAAUAAAAAAAACGGAAUUUUUCGCCAUUAGGGGGCGCAAUAAACGAGGAAAUUGUAUAUCUUCUAAUUGGCCAAAGGAAUGUUCUUCAAACUAUAAGGGAACCAUCAAGGGGCAAACCCGAGUCUAUAUAGAAAAUAUGGCCAAGAAUUAUUAAUGUGGGCGGGAGUUAUUUGGCAAAGGAAAAUUGUCUUUGGAAAAUGUCGCCACAGGGCGGCGCCAAAAAACGACGACAUUGUCUAUCUCCUAUUUGGCCAAUGGAAUGUUCUGAAAACGCGUUUUAGGCUAUAACUCCCACACCGAAGCUCCCACAGUCAAAACCUUUAUAUCCACAUGUUGUUCACGGUAGCGUUUUGAAUACUUGCUUCGCGUUGUGCCGGCGAAAUGCACAUUUCUUGUCGCGUUGUGCCGGCGAAAUGCACACUUCUUGGACCCCUGCAUAACUGCUUGCAGUUCUAGUUAUACUUCCCGCCAUAGAAGUGGUACCACAGCCCAAACCGUAAAUGGUGCACACACGCCAAUUGCAUGACUAGAUCCAGGUACGGCACCGCUACUCAGAUAACCAAAUCCAGACACGCCGGCCACUAGGUGGCGCUAUACCAAGGAAUACGCGUUUGGGGCUAUAACUCCCACACCGAACCUCCCAGAGUCCAAAAACUUGUACACACAGAUGCACUGGAGUCUGCUGCAUCUUUUGGCCUCGGCCACGCCCAUUUGCGUCUAUGAUUAUUUUUCGCUAAAUCGCGAAAACCGCAAAAAUGUUUUUUCGCUACUCCUCCCACAUUUCUCGACCAAUUGACACAAAACUUUGCACACGGCAUAUUCAGACCUACACGAAAAGAAUUCCUGCAUUACUUUUUUGAUCCGACCUUCGACGACGAAACGGUAGCGUUUUGA
ensembl:lncRNA